UGGUGGAGCGAUUUGUCUGGUUAAUUCGAUAACGAACGAGACUCUAGCCUAUUAAAUAGUUCGUUGAUCACGCAUGUCGGCGUAAACUUCUUAGAGGGACUAGUGGCGUUUAGCCACACGAGAUUGAGCAAUAACA
rnacentral:rRNA from 1 species